rnacentral:rRNA from 1 species
GUUGUAUGGUUAAGUGACUAAGCGUACAUGGUGGAUGCCUUGGCAGUCAGAGGCGAUGAAGGACGUACUAACCUGCGAUAAGCUGUGAGAAGUCGGUAAGAGACGCUAUUACUCACAGAUUUCCGAAUGGGGAAACCCACCCAAGAUAACUUGGGUAUCUGUUACUGAAUACAUAGGUAACAGAGGCGAACCGGGAGAACUGAAACAUCUAAGUACCCCGAGGAAAAGAAAUCAACCGAGAUUCCCUCAGUAGCGGCGAGCGAACGGGGAUUAGCCCUUAAGCAUCUUGGAAGUUAGUGGAACGGUCCUGGAAAGGCCGGCGAUACAGGGUGAUAGCCCCGUACACGAAAACAACCUUGAUGUGAAAUCGAGUAGGGCGGGACACGUGACAUCCUGUCUGAAUAUGGGGGGACCAUCCUCCAAGGCUAAAUACUCCUGACUGACCGAUAGUGAACCAGUACCGUGAGGGAAAGGCGAAAAGAACCCCUGUGAGGGGAGUGAAAUAGAACCUGAAACCGUGUACGUACAAGCAGUGGGAGCCCUUCGGGGUGACUGCGUACCUUUUGUAUAAUGGGUCAGCGACUUACAUUUUGUAGCGAGGUUAACCGUAUAGGGGAGCCGUAGGGAAACCGAGUCUUAACUGGGCGUCUAGUUGCAAGGUGUAGACCCGAAACCGGGUGAUCUAGCCAUGGGCAGGUUGAAGGUUGAGUAACAUCAACUGGAGGACCGAACCCACUAACGUUGCAAAGUUAGGGGAUGACCUGUGGCUGGGGGUGAAAGGCCAAUCAAACUCGGAGAUAGCUGGUUCUCCCCGAAAGCUAUUUAGGUAGCGCCUCGGACGAAUACUACUGGGGGUAGAGCACUGUUUGGGCUAGGGGGUCAUCCCGACUUACCAACCCCAUGCAAACUCCGAAUACCAGUAAGUAAUAUCCGGGAGACACACGGCGGGUGCUAACGUCCGUCGUGAAGAGGGAAACAACCCAGACCGCCGGCUAAGGUCCCAAAGUUCUGGUUAAGUGGGAAACGAUGUGGGAAGGCUCAGACAGCUAGGAUGUUGGCUUAGAAGCAGCCAUCAUUUAAAGAAAGCGUAAUAGCUCACUAGUCGAGUCGGCCUGCGCGGAAGAUGUAACGGGGCUCAAACCAGGCACCGAAGCCGCGGAUUCACACUUAUGUGUGAGUGGUAGGGGAGCGUUCUGUAAGUCUGCGAAGGUGUAUCGAGAGGUAUGCUGGAGAUAUCAGAAGUGCGAAUGCUGACGUAAGUAACGAUAAAGGGGGUGAAAAGCCUCCUCGCCGGAAGACCAAGGGUUCCUGUCCAACGUUAAUCGGGGCAGGGUGAGUCGACCCCUAAGGCGAGGCCGAAAGGCGUAGUCGAUGGGAAGCAGGUUAAUAUUCCUGCACGACUUGUAAUUGCGAUGGGGGGACGGAGAAGGCUAGGUGGGCCAGGCGACGGUUGUCCUGGUGAAAGUGCGUAGGUGGUGUUUCUAGGCAAAUCCGGAGACACAACACUGAGACACGAGACGAACACACUACGGUGUGGAAGCCAUUGAUGCCCUGCUUCCAGGAAAAGCCUCUAAGCUUCAGAUUACAAGUCAUCGUACCCCAAACCGACACAGGUGGUCGGGUAGAGAAUACCAAGGCGCUUGAGAGAACUCGGGUGAAGGAACUAGGCAAAAUAGAACCGUAACUUCGGGAGAAGGUUCGCUCUUGACAGUGAAGUCCCUUGCGGAUGGAGCAGUUGGGAGUCGCAGUGACCAGAUGGCUGGGACUGUUUAUCAAAAACACAGCACUCUGCAAACACGAAAGUGGACGUAUAGGGUGUGACACCUGCCCGGUGCCGGAAGGUUAAUUGAUGGGGUUAGCGCAAGCGAAGCUCUUGAUCGAAGCCCCGGUAAACGGCGGCCGUAACUAUAACGGUCCUAAGGUAGCGAAAUUCCUUGUCGGGUAAGUUCCGACCUGCACGAAUGGUGUAACCAUGGCCAUGCUGUCUCCACCCGAGACUCAGUGAAAUCGAAUUCGCCGUGAAGAUGCGGUGUACCCGCGGCUAGACGGAAAGACCCCGUGAACCUUUACUACAGCUUGGCACUGAACAUUGAACCUACAUGUGUAGGAUAGGUGGGAGGCUUUGAAGGCGUGACGCCAGUUGCGCUGGAGCCGUCCUUGAAAUACCACCCUUGUAUGUUUGAUGUUCUAACGCAGGGCCCUGAAUCGGGCUCGCGGACAGUGCCUGGUGGGUAGUUUGACUGGGGCGGUCUCCUCCCAAAGAGUAACGGAGGAGCACGAAGGUUGGCUAAUCCUGGUCGGACAUCAGGAGGUUAGUGCAAUGGCAUAAGCCAGCUUAACUGCGAGACGGACAGGUCGAGCAGGUACGAAAGUAGGUCAUAGUGAUCCGGUGGUUCUGAAUGGAAGGGCCAUCGCUCAACGGAUAAAAGGUACUCCGGGGAUAACAGGCUGAUACCGCCCAAGAGUUCAUAUCGACGGCGGUGUUUGGCACCUCGAUGUCGGCUCAUCACAUCCUGGGGCUGAAGUCGGUCCCAAGGGUAUGGCUGUUCGCCAUUUAAAGUGGUACGCGAGCUGGGUUCAGAACGUCGUGAGACAGUUCGGUCCCUAUCUGCCGUGGGCGUUGGAUGAUUGAAGGGAGUUGCUCCUAGUACGAGAGGACCGGAGUGAACGAACCUCUGGUGUUCGGGUUGUCACGCCAGUGGCACUGCCCGGUAGCUAAGUUCGGAAUCGAUAACCGCUGAAAGCAUCUAAGCGGGAAGCGAGCCCUGAGAUGAGUCAUCCCUGACCCCUUGAGGGUCCUAAAGGGCCGUUGGAGACCACAACGUUGAUAGGUGGGGUGUGUAAGCGCGGUGACGUGUUGAGCUAACCCGUACUAAUUACCCGUGAGGCUUAACCAUACAACACCCAAGAAGUGUU